GUAGGUGGCAAGCGUUGUCCGGAAUUAUUGGGCGUAAAGCGCGCGCAGGUGGGUUCUUUAAGUCUGAUGUGGGAAGCCCCCGGGCUCAACCGGGGAGGGUCAUUGGAAACUGGGGAACUUGAGUGCAGGAGAGGAAAGUGGAAUUCCACGUGUAGCGGUGAAAUGCGUAGAUAUGUGGAGGAACACCAGUGGCGAAGGCGACUUUCUGGCCUGUAACUGACACUGAGGCGCGAAAGCGUGGGGAGCAAACAGGAUUAGAUACCCUGGUAGUCCACGCCGUAAACGAUGAGUGCCAAGUGUUGGGGGGUUUCCGCCCCUCAGUGCUGCAGCUAACGCAUUAAGCACUCCGCCUGGGGAGUACGGUCGCAAGACUG
rnacentral:rRNA from 1 species